rnacentral:lncRNA from 1 species
CUCUCUGUACUGCAAUCAAUUUCUUCCAGCUUUCUAAUAUCUCUCCCAUUAAGCCUUCUGAGGAGAGGAACUACACCUGUUUUAUCUUGGUAACUAGCACUUUGCACCAUGCCUGACACAGAGGAGGUGUUUUAAAACUGUCUUUCAAUGGAUUACCACAGAAAAAAGUUGCUCACCUCUAGAAGAUGCUAGAGCAGGUACAGUGGAAAGAGCAUGGACUUGGAGGGCAGACAAAGGCAUGGACUUCGUGUUGAACUGCAGGUUUGAGCCAAGGAAUGGUGAGGAAUAGAUUUCUCAACAAAGCAAGUGCUCACAUAAGCUGCUGAAGUCUUAAAUGGAGAGCAGAGAUAGCUGGAGUCCUGUGGGUACUUUAAGGGAGUUUCAGGUGUGAGCUCUACAUUAUGCUGAGAUGGCUAUGUACAAGUAUAUCCAGAAUGACGGUGGAUACGUUGAAAGUCCAAUCAACUGUGCUAAAUCUUGAAUCAGUUCUCUCUGUUGCCUUUUGCAGUAAAUAAGGAAAUAUGGAGUAAAAGAGUAAUCUUCCUGCUGAGCAUGUUUUGCGGUUGCCAGCGCUGCCCCGGGUGUGUCUGGAGGAACACUCCCUGUUGCCUAACAACUGCUGUAAUGUAACGGAAAUAGAAGCACGAUGCCACACAUCCCUCAGAAAACGACUUGGCCCUUGGCCCUCCUGUGGAUGAAGAGUAUAUUGAAGAGAAACUGGAUAUUUCUAAAUUUGCUAAGACUCGCUUUUCUCACUUGCUCUCAGAUCACACUACUUUUGAGUAGCCCAAAAUUUUGUUGCCAACUCAGCAAGUUAAGCAAACAAUAUUACAAAUCAUGUUGAAACUGAAGUGGUCCCCAUGGGCCAGUGAGUACGGUGCAGGUGGAGAAAAAAUUAGCUGCUGAGUUAGGACAAACUGCUCCAAUUUUGAAGGCACAAAUGGGCAUCAUCUUGGGCCCGGGUACUACCCAAGGUGGACCUCUCAAUCAGGCUCUUAUGCUCCCAGGUGUAGUUGUUGGGUGAACUCUCUCCCUGGAUGCUCAGGGACAGCAUCUCAGAGAGAGGUGAAUGGAAAAACCAUGAGACCCUGUACACACUCUAGGUGCAAUGGAUUACAAGGGUUGAUAGCUCUUCUUAGUAACCGAAAGCCUAUAUGCUCCAUCUUUCUUGAUGGCAAGGUCCCUGGGAAGGAGACAUUCUCUUAGAAUGUCAUUAAAUGACCAUAGAAUAAGCAUGAAGUGAGUGGAAUUAUGUGGAAGGGAUUCAGCAUUUUACCCAAGCACUGGGCAGCCCCUGGGUGUGGCUGUCCCUCCACAGUGGCCUGUCUGUCUAAGUCUUGACCCACCCACCCAGAUCCUCUUGGAAGCCACUGAUAGCAUUUGCCUCUGGGAAUUCUGCAGCCUUUGCUGAUGAGUCUCAGUUGACACCAUCUAUCAUUGCAGAUACAGAUGUCUCCAAAAGGCAAUUGCCAAAGGCUGUGCCACACAGCACACACCUGUCCAUGUGCAGAUUGAUUCUGUUAAACUCUUCAGCUAUCUUGUGGGCUGCUUUUCCCUGCCUCAUUAUCUGCCUGCAGACCUUCCUUCUGUGUUCUCUGCUCUUAGAGGUCAGAUUGAUCUGUAUUUUUAUCAAGAUGAGGAAGGAGAUGGUAGACUGUGAAUCAAGGAUCUACCUCUCCCAGUAAUUCACUGUGGCAUCUUGGGGCACCUGCUGGCCCUCUCUGAGCCUCCAUUUUCUUACCCACGAAAUGUGGAUUUGGACCCAGUUAUCUCCAACCACCCAAGAGUCUGUGAUUCUGCUACUAAGAAAAGCAAAAGGCAAGUACAAGAUAGCAUGUGUUUAGUUGCUGGGGAAAGCUCAGUCUAAUAUUAAAAAUAAUAAGUAUAAAAAUAAUCACCACCAUUCACUCGAGCUUGCUUUGCCAGUUCUGCACUGUGAUCUUUGCAGGGGUAAUCUUACUGAAUCCUCUGCUCCAACCCUACCAGGUGGGAACUACUUUUAUCUUUAUUUUUCUGAUGAGGAGAUUGAGCCUCAGAGAUGUUAAGCAACCUGCCGAAGCAGAGAGUUAAUAUGUCGGGAUUCAUCACAGGCAGAUCCCUCUGCUCUUGGGAAGCCCAGACCUCAGAAGCAGGAGUGGGUCUGAUUCAGGUGUGCUCUGAGGGCCAGCUGUCCUUUCCAAAAAUGCCUUCCUUUAUUUAGACACCAACAUCCUUGCUAUUUUGGAUUUUUCAAUGAGCUUCCUUAUUUUCUCCCUAUUCUGUCCUAUUCAGCAAAAUGAAUGAAUAAAUAUAGGUUCCUAAUGUUACAAAUUUAAUUUUCUUCUAGAAAUGAAAGUGUUUAUUUCUCUUCUUUUAUUUCUCAAGCCAAAAUAAUUAUUUCCUCCUUCUUAGAAGUCCAGGAAUAGGUUAAACUUUAAUUAAAAGUCUUAUGGUUCAACAGUUGGAAUGAGGAUCAGGUAAUAACGAAGAAACCCCGUAAACACCCUGAGGAGAACCAGCACCCCCUCCAUUGGUUGUUUUAGCUCAGCCCACAGCUAACAGCUCAGCUCAGAAAGUUCCUACCACCCACUCCGCUUCUAACGCCUUUUAAUAUUCGCACAGAGUUUUCUCACAUUGUGGCUCUCACACACUUCCUUUAUACAUGCUGUUUCCUCAGCCUGGAAUGCCACCUCUUUCUUUACCUGGAGAACCCCUGUCCCUUAAAGACGCAGGUCAGAAGUCACGUAGUACUCCUCUGCUACCACCUAAUGCAAAGCGUGAUUAUUCCUUCACUUCUCUUCUGCAUUUAAAUUAUUGAGGGAAGAGGCUUGGUCUCAUUGCCUUUGGAAUAGCUCUGGAUCUGCGUUCAUGUUUUGUAUAUAAUACGACUCAGUAAAGGUUGUGUAAUAUAUGACUUUCAUAUGUGUGUAUGCAAAGAUAAUGUGUUCCCAUGCCCUUUGACUCAGUUUUCCCCAUGGCAAUGAAUUUAACCACAGGAAAUAAUUGAAUAGGAGAAAGAAGAUUACACAGAUGGAAGUUCUAUAAAAUAUGUAUUUGCUAAACAUUGGAAACAAGUUAAAUGUUUAUCAAUUGAGUAAUGGCAAGUAAAUUGGGGUACAUGAUC